GAUGAACGCUGGCGGCGUGCCUAAUACAUGCGAGUCGAGCGAACAGACGAGGAGCUUGCUCCUCUGACGUUAGCGGCGGACGGGUGAGUAACACGUGGAUAACCUACCUAUAAGACUGGGAUAACUUCGGGAAACCGGAGCUAAUACCGGAUAAUAUAUUGAACCGCAUGGUUCAAUAGUGAAAGACGGUUUUGCUGUCACUUAUAGAUGGAUCCGCGCCGCAUUAGCUAGUUGGUAAGGUAACGGCUUACCAAGGCAACGAUGCGUAGCCGACCUGAGAGGGUGAUCGGCCACACUGGAACUGCGACACGGUCCAGACUCCUACGGGAGGCAGCAGUAGGGAAUCUUCCGCAAUGGGCGAAAGCCUGACGGAGCAACGCCGCGUGAGUGAUGAAGGUCUUCGGAUCGUAAAACUCUGUUAUUAGGGAAGAACAAAUGUGUAAGUAACUAUGCACGUCUUGACGGUACCUAAUCAGAAAGCCACGGCUAACUACGUG
rnacentral:rRNA from 1 species